rnacentral:rRNA from 1 species
AUGUAAAUUCGUUUCGCAGAAAUUCAGAGAUUUCCAAUCUCCUCGAAAGUAAAUGAGUUCAAUCAGGAACACCGGUCUCCGCAGCAUCAGGAUAAAGACCUUCUUUUUACCCAUAACCUUUCUCUGCAGCAUUGGAACCAAGAUCGGGCUUGGAUAGUUACGUGGUUCCCCUUCUAUUUAACUAACACUAACUGA